rnacentral:rRNA from 1 species
UAGGGAAUCUUCCACAAUGGACGCAAGUCUGAUGGAGCAACGCCGCGUGAGUGAAGAAGGCUUUCGGGUCGUAAAACUCUGUUGUUGGAGAAGAAUGGUCGGCAGAGUAACUGUUGUCGGCGUGACGGUAUCCAACCAGAAAGCCACGGCUAACUACGUGCCAGCAGCCGCGGUAAUACGUAGGUGGCAAGCGUUAUCCGGAUUUAUUGGGCGUAAAGCGAGCGCAGGCGGUUUUUUAAGUCUGAUGUGAAAGCCCUCGGCUUAACCGAGGAAGCGCAUCGGAAACUGGGAAACUUGAGUGCAGAAGAGGACAGUGGAACUCCAUGUGUAGCGGUGAAAUGCGUAGAUAUAUGGAAGAACACCAGUGGCGAAGGCGGCUGUCUGGUCUGUAACUGACGCUGAGGCUCGAAAGCAUGGGUAGCGAACAGGAUUAGAUACCCUGGUAGUCCAUGCCGUAAACGAUGAAUGCUAGGUGUUGGAGGGUUUCCGCCCUUGCAGUGCC